rnacentral:rRNA from 1 species
CCCUUAGAUGUUCUGGGCCGCACGCGCGCUACACUGACGAAUGCAACGAGCUUAUAACCUUGGCCGAAAGGUCUGGGUAAUCUCCAAAUUUCGUCGUGAUGGGGAUAGAUUAUUGCAAUUAUUAAUCUUCAACGAGGAAUGCCUAGUAAGCGCAAGUCAUCAGCUUGCGUUGAUUACGUCCCUGCCCUUUGUACACACCGCCCGUCGCUCCUACCGAUUGAAUGGUCCGGUGAAGCGCUCGGACCGCGGCCUCUUGACGGUUUUCCGUCGAUUGGCUGUGGGAAGUUCGUUAAACCUUAUCAUUUAGAGGAAGGAGAAGUUGUAACA